UACAGAGGGGGCAAGCGUUAUUCGGAAUUAUUGGGCGUAAAGGGCGCGUAGGCGGCCUGGCAAGUGGAAGGUGAAAUCCCUCGGCUUAACCGAGGAACUGCCCUCCAAACUGCUUGGCUUGAGACCGGGAGAGGUGAGUGGAAUUCCGAGUGUAGAGGUGAAAUUCGUAGAUAUUCGGAAGAACACCAGUGGCGAAGGCGGCUCACUGGACCGGUAUUGACGCUGAGGUGCGAAAGCGUGGGGAGCAAACAGG
rnacentral:rRNA from 1 species